UGNGACCAGAGGUUAGAGGUUACAGCUGC
rnacentral:piRNA from 1 species